GCGGCAGUCCGUUCUAUCGCCCUCUUAAAGGGGGAGGAAAGUCGGGACAACACAGGGCGCCCUGCUUCCUAACAGGAAGGCCCCGGAUUUCCGGGUACAGCAAGUGCCACAGAAAAUAACCGCCCCGUUUCAUACGGGGUAAGGGUGAAAAUGUGAGGUAAGAGCUCACGUCGGUUCAUGGUAACAUGGGUCGAGGGUAAACCUCAGGGGUUGAAAGGCCAAAUAAACCGGCAGUGAAAAUCACUGAUUCGUCAGUGGUUUACAGCAGUGCUGCCCGCACUGUGCCGGAGGGUAGGCCGAUAGAGCCUUUUGGUGACAAAAGGUCGAGAUAAAUGAUAGAAACCCGGAAUUUAUUCCGGGGACAGAAUCCCGCUUAUAAGACUGCCGUUUAU
rnacentral:RNase_P_RNA from 1 species